rnacentral:rRNA from 1 species
AUGACGAAGAAAAGACGUCACCGCAGACGCAAUGUAAAUGCCUCACAGAAAGCAACUCACAACAAAGACGUUGUUGGCAGCGAAGAAGAUGGAGACAGGCUUAGCAGGCUGCCCAAUGACCUUCUGCUCAACAUUCUCGAGAGGGUGGACACGCUCGAUGCAAUAAGAGCUUGCGUCCUCUCCAAGCGAAUGAUGAUGCUCCCCACCAUGCUCUCGCAGUUCUUCCUGAGCUGUAGUUCCAUUCCAGGUCACCAUGUUAGAGCUCGUGUCUGCAACGUCAGUGAAUUUGUCAGAACCAACACUGUUGUGGCUCAUGUAGCGGAUAACAUCUUGAGCACAAGGAGCCCCGAGAUCACCAUCAGCUAA